AUCCUGGCUCAGGACGAACGCUGGCGGCGUGCCUAACACAUGCAAGUCGAGCGGGGACAUACGACGGACAGGAAGUUUUCGGAUGGAAUGGAAGAUGUAUGUUCUAGCGGCGGACGGGUGAGUAACGCGUGAGCAACCUGUCCCUUACAGGGGGAUAACACAGCGAAAGCUGUACUAAUACCGCAUAAGACCACAGAGAGACAUCUCACAGGGGUCAAAGGAGCAAUCCGGUAAGGGGUGGGCUCGCGUCCGAUUAGAUAGUUGGUGAGGUAACGGCCCACCAAGUCAACGAUCGGUAGCCGACCUGAGAGGGUGAUCGGCCACAUUGGGACUGAGACACGGCCCAAACUCCUACGGGAGGCAGCAGUGGGGAAUAUUGGGCAAUGGGCGCAAGCCUGACCCAGCAACGCCGCGUGAGGGAAGAAGGUCUUCGGAUUGUAAACCUCUGUCCUAUGUGACGAAGGAAGUGACGGUAGCAUAGGAGGAAGCCCCGGCUAACUACGUGCC
rnacentral:rRNA from 1 species